rnacentral:rRNA from 1 species
UACGGAAGGCAGCAGUGGGGAAUAUUGCACAAUGGGCGCAAGCCUGAUGCAGCCAUGCCGCGUGUAUGAAAAAGGCCUUCGGGUUGUAAAGUACUUUCAGUCGUGAGGAAGGUGUUAAGGUUAAUAACCUUAGCAAUUGACGUUAGCGACAGAAGAAGCACCGGCUAACUCCGUGCCAGCAGCCGCGGUAAUACGGAGGGUGCGAGCGUUAAUCGGAAUUACUGGGCGUAAAGGGCACGCAGGCGGUUAAUUAAGUUGGAUGUGAAAUCCCCGGGCUUAACCUGGGAAUGGCAUUCAAGACUGGUUAGCUAGAGUCUUGUAGAAGGGGGUAGAAUUCCAUGUGUAGCGGUGAAAUGCGUAGAGAUGUGGAGGAAUACCGGUGGCGAAGGCGGCCCCUGGACAAAGACUGACGCUCAUGUGCGAAAGCGUGGGGAGCAAACAGGGAUUAGAUACCCG